rnacentral:rRNA from 1 species
CGGAGGCGCGAGCGUUACCCGGAUUUACUGGGCGUAAAGGGCGUGUAGGCGGCUUGGGGCGUCCCAUGUGAAAGACCACGGCUCAACCGUGGGGAGCGUGGGAGUACGCUCAGGCUAGACGGCGGGAGGGGUGGGUGGGAAGUUCCCGGAGUAGCGGUGAAAUGCGCAGAUACCGGGAGGAACGCCGAUGGCGAAGGCAGCCACCUGGCUCGUUCGUGACGCUGAGGCGCGAAAGCGUGGGGAGCAAACCGGAUU